GCAAAUAUUAAUUAUUAGAAAGAAAAAAAUAAUAAUAAUCUCUUUAAAUUGCCCAUCUAACCUCGUAAUGAAAAAUGAUGUAUACAAAAACUAAAUUAUAUCUAUCAUAUAGAGCAAAAAUAGUAGAAAAAUUAUUGUCCUCUCAAUUCUAUAUUGCUGCCUAAAGAUUUCAAAAAGCGAGAUAAAAGAUUGCACAGAACUUUAAUAAAUAACAUUGCAAACUAAAAACUGUUACUUGCAAGGGAAAGAAAAAAACAAAAACAUGAAAAGUCCACAAGCCACCAUGAAAAUGAAGUUGCAAUCGCAAUGAUGUCUUUAAAAAGAGGCAAAAU
rnacentral:misc_RNA from 1 species